AUUGAACGCUGGCGGGAUGCUUUACACAUGCAAGUCGAACGGCAGCGCGGACUUCGGUCUGGCGGCGAGUGGCGAACGGGUGAGUAAUGUAUCGGAACGUGCCCAGUAGCGGGGGAUAACUACGCGAAAGCGUAGCUAAUACCGCAUACGCCCUACGGGGGAAAGCAGGGGAUCGUGAGACCUUGCACUAUUGGAGCGGCCGAUAUCGGAUUAGCUAGUUGGUGAGGUAACGGCUCACCAAGGCGACGAUCCGUAGCUGGUUUGAGAGGACGACCAGCCACACUGGGACUGAGACACGGCCCAGACUCCUACGGGAGGCAGCAGUGGGGAAUUUUGGACAAUGGGGGCAACCCUGAUCCAGCCAUCCCGCGUGUGCGAUGAAGGCCUUCGGGUUGUAAAGCACUUUUGGCAGGAAAGAAACGUCGCGGGCUAAUACCCCGUGGAACUGACGGUACCUGCAGAAUAAGCACCGGCUAACUACGUG
rnacentral:rRNA from 1 species